rnacentral:lncRNA from 10 species
GAGAGGGAGGGAGGCACUCCCUGACACUUCCUGCAAGCUGUUGUUACUAAGGCAGCAGAGUAGAAAGAUGAAGUGCAAGGACCUGGAAAUCAGACACACCUGGGUUCCUGGUGAGCUUCACUGCUUCCUGGUCUCUGAUAUCAGCUCUGCCCAAAUUUCAGCUGUCACAGAAUGAGUGAUCCUCAUAGUAUAAUGGAAAUGCAUCAUCUCAGUUUCCCCAUGGCCUGAAUGUCCAUACAAAAUGAGAGCCAGUAGAGAAAAACAGAGGACGUGAGGAGUUUUUAAAAAUUGAGGAAAAGUGGAAGGAAAAGUAAGGAUGAAGGUGAAGAUGAAGGAAUAUGUCAGAGAUGCUAGCACUGGCAUCCCCCACCACACAGUACCAUGUACUGCUAAAGAACUCUAGAACAUACAGAUUUCCAAAAGACCUUGGCUCAGGUGUCACUUUUGCAGAAAAGCAUUUACUGACUGUUGACUUGGCCAAAUCCCUGUGCUGUGUUUCCUAGUACGCCACACCCUUGGGACUGCAGCCCUGUGAAGACUGAGGUUCUGACGAAAGUCAAGAAAAAUCUGCAUUGCAACUCUUCGAAGAGAAGAAUGUGACAUCUUGAUUACAUCAAGAGUGGCAGGGCUGGGACACCAGAGUUUCCGGAAUGGCUCCUCAGGGCUCCAGCUGCAACAAACUCGCUGUGCCAAUGUGCAUGCAGUUCCUGAUUCUAAUCAAAUAAGUAUCAUAACCGAGUUCACCCGAAAUAGAGUAUACUGCACAGAAACUUAAUAAUGGUGUCGUUUUCCAGAGGCAGCUGCAUAAAUCACAGGAGACUGAAUACAGGAGAAGAUGUAAGAAUCCAGUCAGCUUCUAUCAAACCAGACAUAAAAGACAUUUGCAGAUAUGUAAAACAAUGCCACUCUUCACAUUGCAUUUUUAAAAAAUAUUAUUUCCCAGAAAAUAUAUCAUCUAUGUUAAUAUGGAAUGGGGUUUGUUAUUCUUAUUUUAAGUAAGGUAUUAUAUAAAUAUUUUUAAUGUCUCAGUUUUAAUUUCUAAUGAAGUCAAUAUCAAUAGAUGUAAUCUAUAUAAACCAAAGUUCUCCGGGGUCUUCAAGAGUGUAAAGGAGUCCUGAGAUCAAAAGGGAUGAAAACCUCUGCCCUACCCUGGCCACCUAAGGGGCUGAAGCCCUCCAGGAGCAGUGCUCCCGGCUCUUGCUGCUGCCCCAGAGCUGAGGGUUUUGGAGCACUGGUGCCCUACAAAACGGAGAGACUGGAAGGAGUUUUCUGGGUCAUGAGGUUGGAACUGCUGGCAGAAGAUCACAGCAUAACUUUCUUCUGGGUUAUAGGAAGAAAUAUAUAAGUAGA